rnacentral:rRNA from 1 species
UUACUGCUAUCGAGGUUCGACUAAGCCAUGCGAGUCGAAUGUAGCAAUACAUGGCGUACUGCUCAGUAACACGUGGACGACCUACCCUUAGGACAGGUAUAAACCCGGGAAACUGGGUAUAAUCCCUGAUAGUCCUCGGCUGCUGGAAUGCAUCGAGGACGAAAGCUCCGGCGCCUAAGGAUGGGUCUGCGGCCUAUCAGGUAGUAGUGGGUGUAACGUACCUACUAGCCUACGACGGGUACGGGUUGUGAGAGCAAGAGCCCGGAGAUGGAUUCUGAGACACGAAUCCAGGCCCUACGGGGUGCAGCAGGCGCGAAAACUUUACAAUGCCGGCAACGGCGAUAAGGGGACCUCGAGUGCCAGGUUACAAAUCUGGCUGUCGUGAUGCCUAAAAAGCAUUGCAUAGCAAGGGCCGGGCAAGACCGGUGCCAGCCGCCGCGGUAACACCGGCGGCUCGAGUGGUAACCGUUAUUAUUGGGUCUAAAGGGUCUGUAGCCGGCC